GUAUAUGGCUGUACCACCCUGAAUGUGCCCAAUCUCAUCUGAUUUUGGAAGCUAAGCAGGAUCAGGCCUGAUUAGUACUUGGAUGGGAGAUUUAUACAAUGUAUGGUUGUAAGUCAUAAAUC
ensembl:rRNA 5S_rRNA 5S ribosomal RNA